rnacentral:pre_miRNA from 1 species
CAAAUACUCCCUCCAUCCGGAAAUACUUGUCAUCAAAAUGGAUGAAAGGAAAUGUAUCUAGACGUAUUUUAGUUUUAGAUACAUCUCUUUUUAUCCAUUUUGAUGACAAGUAUUUUCGGACGGAGGGAGUAGAAA